rnacentral:lncRNA from 1 species
GGGUCUUACUAUGCCCGGCGGCAAGCAGAAUAUAAGUCGUAGGACUGGCCAAUCCUACGCCUAGGGCCGUGUCCCCCCUAGGAAGGGACUGGGCUCCGCCCACCCAGAAGGCUACUAUGUGCACAAAGGCCGAUGUUCAACCCCAUCGACUAUAGGUGUCCUGCAGAUACUGCCAAGCCAUGCAUAAAUGCCAUAAUGCACCCUCCCAAUACUCUACUAAAAGGAGCAUAAUUAAGACUACCACUCACUCGACUCCGACCCAAUCAUAAACUAACAUCAGGGUUGGGAGUGAGGGGUCAAGGGUGUGCAAUGCAACUCAAUAUACCACUGAAAUGGGCUCUACAAAUCUUUGAAAUAGAGGAAAUGAAAUCAAUUUACAAAAGAAGUAAUUUCACAAUUCAGAUCCAAUUUAAUUACUCAUAAAGGAGUAUAAUCAAGGCUACCACUUACAAGUCUUUGAAAUAGAGAAAAUG